rnacentral:rRNA from 1 species
GACGAACGCUGGCGGCGUGCUUAACACAUGCAAGUCGAGCGGAAAGGCCCCUUUUGGGGUACUCGAUUGGCUGACGGGUGAGUAACACAUGAGUAACCUGCCCUUGACUGCGGGAUAACUUCAUGAAACUGGGGCUAAUACCGGCUAGGAAUCCUUGCUGCAUGGUGGGGGGUGGAAGGCUUCUGCGGUUUUGGAGGGACUCGCUGCUUAUCUGCUUGUUGGUGGGGUAGUGGCUUACCAAGGCUUUGACGGGUAGACGGCCUGAGAGGGUGACCGGCCACAUAGGGACUGUGAUACGCGCCCGACUCCUACGGGGGGCAGCAGUGGGGAGUAUUGCACAAUGGGCGGAAGCCUGAUGCAGCAACGCGGCGUGCGGGGUGAGGGGCCUUGGGUUGUAAAAAGCUUUCAGCAGGGGCGCGGCUUGUGGGGACGGUAAAUGGAGAAGAAGCACCGGCUAACUACGUG